AUGUUCUCCAUCGCGGCCAUCAACGAGAGCGACACCGUCGGCCAGUGGGAGCCGCUCGCGCCGACCAAGGAAGCACAGGAAUCUGCACUUUCGCAUAAAUACCAUGAGGGACUCCUCAAGUUGCAAGAAAAAGACUACACAAAAGCUUGUGAACUUUUGGAGGAUGUUUUGAAGGAUCCACUAAUAUCCGAAAUUCAGGUUGAGAACAUUGGCAGUGAUCAGCAUUUGCUGCAGCUAAGGUUUUUGACAUUGAAAAACCUUGCAUCUGUUUUCCUUCGACAAGGAUCGAAAUUUUAUGAUAAUGCUCUCCGCUGUUACCUACAAGCUGUGGAGCUUGAUACAAAUGAUUCAGUUGUAUGGAAUCAUCUGGGAACACUCUCGUGCACAAUGGGUUUGCUGAGCAUAUCAAGAUGGGCAUUUGAGCAAGGGCUUCUAUGCAGCCCAAACAAUUGGAACUGCAUGGAGAAACUUUUGGAGAUCCUUAUAGCGAUCCGUGAUGAAGUCGCUUGUCUUUCAGUAGCAAGUUUAAUACUUAUGAAUUGGCCAUCACAUCAUCGUGCAUUACAUGUAAAGAAGACCAUUGAAGAUGUGGAACCAGUGCCUUUUGCACCACGGGGUAUCGACAUCCUUGAACCCAAGCAUGCCAAACUUGAAUUUUCCAAUAAAAGAAAAUCUGCAGACAAUGUAUUAAAUCAAGAAACAAGGAAGAGGAGUAAACGGGGUGCAACAUUGCAACUUGUUGAAGCCAAAUGGACAUCGGUUUUAGAUGGCAUCAUAAGUCUCUUAACUGCAAAAAAUGUGAAAGCUGAUGAAAAUCAUUGUGCAAAUACUGAGACUAGAUGUUCAGACACUGAGGGGACUGUCAAGGGGCUUGGUUAUAACACAGUGGAUGUCGUCUUAUCUAUAGGUACAUCCAAACCUAUGGAAUCUGCUGGUGAAAGUGAAAAUGUUUUGUACCGGGAUGGUGAAAGUUUACAAUCGCAUGAUGGCACACCUACAGUUAAAGAGAAAGAUGUUAAUUCAGACAGAGAACAUCCUCAUGAAAGGCGAAGCAGACGCCUUGAGAGGCUGCGGAGUCGCAAACCCGAAAAAGAUGAAAAUGAAUCCAAUGGCAAAGAUUUAUCUCAUGCAAUAACUCAGUUUCUAGACUCAUUUAUCCUGAAGGGGGCAAGCACUGCAUAUAAGACUGAUUCUUCUGGAAAUGCUGACAUUUCUAAUCCAGAAAUUCCCACAUAUACGUCCGACCGUGAGACAGACGAUGUUAAGCAAUUUCUAUUGAAGAUAUGCAAGAAUAAUGGUCCUUGUCAUAUUGGCUUUAUGUUAUUGGAGGAGAUUGCUCAUAUCGACAUACCUUUUCAAGAUUACUUUGCUAACUUUGUUGAACUAGAGAAACUUACUAGAGGCUGGGCGCAAGAUAGAUCUGCGCUGUGCAGUUUAUUUCUUGCUGAACUAUACUAUGAUCGAGCUAUAUGUUCUGGAAGCCCAUCAACAUCCUCAGAACUAUCUGAUUCUUCUUACCAUCUUUGUAAGGUCAUCGAAUCAGUAGCUAUGGAAUUGCCAUUAUCUGUUGAGAAAAUGAACUCUACCAGCUUUGAUUUGGACAAGGAAAACUGCAAGGCAGAAAUACGUUCAAGUGAUAAAACAGAGAGAAAUGCUUCAGAUACGUCCAAAAGCUGUUCAAACUCUAACGGAUCAAUUUCCAGUAACAUGUUUUGUGAUGAAACAUCUUCUUCAAAUACUGAUUAUGUGUUCUGGAUUCGCUUCUUCUGGCUGAGUGGCUGUCUGUCCCUUGCACAAGAGUGCAAAGAAAAAGCUUAUAAGGAGUUCAAUGUUGCUCUGUCACUCCUAAGAAGUAGCAGCAAAACCAAUAGCAGUAGAGAGUUUAUCCCUCUACCUCACAGCAAGCUUGUAAAGUUUCUGACAGCUGAUAGGAUUCUGCGUGAAAUUAACUUGAUCAAGCUCGAUUAUUUACUUUGGAAGAACGAUGAAAAUAUCAACAACAUAACUCAUACAGAGUUCAAGGAAUUGCUUCCUCCACUGUUGCUUUCCACCAAUGAUGUCUAUGGUGGCAAUGCAUAUGAUUUGCCGAGCAAAAGUGAGAACGUGAUUUCACUUGAGUUGGGUGCCUUGGAUGUCUUAAUAUCUGCAUGUGAAAGGGCUAAACCAAUGAACGUCAAUAUCUAUCUUGACUCUCACCGAAGGAAAAUACAAGUUCUAACUGUGGCAGCUGGCAUGGUUGGAUCUAUUACUCCCCACAAGGGAAACAUUUCAAGUGAUGCGGAUUUUGUGGAAGCAAUGAACAGAAAUCGGUUGGACAGUGUUGUGGACGCAGUCAAGGACGUAUCACGAAGUGUCAGUACAGCAAAAGACGUUAUUGAUCAAUGUGAUACUUCUGAUGGGCAAGAGGGCUUGAGUUCACUAGUUCAUAUCAUUGGCAAUAUUCAAUCAUUGCUUCUUACAAUCAUGUGUGCUGCUGUCAAGAUGAUUGUAUGGAGAAAACUCUCGUGCUCUGGAACCUCGGAUGAGGCUGACCAGUUGGAGAGUUCUUGCCUUGUAGAUGCAGCCAUUGCGUUUUGCAAACUUCAGCAUCUUGAUCCAACGAUAUCGGUCAAAACUCAGGUUGACUUAAUUGUCGCAGUCCAUGAUUUGCUUGCUGAGUAUGGGCUCUGCUGUGCCGGAAGGGACGGUCAAGGGGAGGAAGGGACUUUCCUCAAGUUUGCAGUCAAACAUCUCAUGGCACUAGACGUGAAGCUAAAAUCUCAACUUAAUCCAAAUGGAAUGGAAGGAGAUUCACUUCUAAAAAGUGGCAGAGCAGAGGACAGUGUAACUGAUGACCGCUCUAUUUGUGACGAUAAGCAUAACUCUGAGGAUGAGGAAGAAUCGGAGUUGGAGGAAAUGCAAUCAAGUAUUGAUAGUGCCUUGGACCAGGCUUUUUUCUGCUUAUAUGGUUUGAAGAUAAACCCGGAUUCUUGCAGUGAAGAUGAUCUAGCCGUACAUAAAAAUGCAAGCCGUGGUGACUAUCAAACAAAAGAACAGUGUGCUGAUGUGUUUCAGUAUGUCCUACCAUAUGCAAAAGAGCUAUCUAAAACUGGUUUGGUUAAACUACGGAGAGUGCUGCGCGCGAUACGCAAACAUUUUCCGCAGCCACCUUCUGAAAUAUUAGUUAAUAACCCUCUUGACAAUUUCCUGGACGGACCUGAUUCAUGUGAAAAGAUACUCUGUGAAAUUUAUGAUACCCAUGGAUCCAGGGAAGCAGUCCUGAAUGUACUGUUUCCAGGUGAAAGAGGCUAUGAAGCAUUCAAGAAACUUUCCGCUGACAGCUCCGAGCCUUACUCAGAUGUUUAUGGAAGCCUGUAUCACUACAUCACAGAAGCUGAAGAUACAAGUCCCAGCGACAAGUACACAGGUUUUGUGUUGAAAAAGGAAGGAGGAGAAUUUGUUGAACAAAGUGCAAAUCUUUUCAAGUAUGAUCUGUUGUAUAACCCAUUACGGUUUGAAAGCUGGCAAAGGCUUUCAAGUUUAUAUGAUGAGGAAGUUGACCUGUUGCUGAACGAUGGUAGUAAGCAUAUAAGCAUUUUGGAUUGGCGAACAAAUACAGCUUUAAUUCAAAGGGUUGAGGCAGGCCGUAGACAUAGUCGACGCAGCCUGAUGAUGAGUUUAAUAUUGGCUAAAACUAUUCCUGAUCAGGUUGAAAUGCAUGAAUUGUUGGCCCUAGUUUACUAUGACAGCGUUCAAAAUGUGGUACCUUUUUAUGAUCAAAGAUCUAUAUUGCCUGUGAAGGAUGCAACAUGGGACAUUAACUGCCAAAAUUCGCUGAAGCAAUUUGAGAAGGCUUUUGAACUCUUGUCUCAGUGGCUCCAUGCAUUUUACCUUGGAAAGCUGUGUGAGAAACUGGGGCAAUCACCUGCUAAGGCAUUUUCAUACUACAAGAAAGCCAUCACAUUGAAUCCAACUGCAGUUGACCCGGUUUACAGGAUGCAUGCAUCACGCUUGAAAUUACUUUAUACCCGAGGGAAACAGAAUCUUAAUGUGAUACAGGUAGUUGCUGAUUACACAUACAACCAGUCGACUAAGGAAAAUGUCUUGAGCAUGCUGGGGUCCUCUGAACAGAAUGAUAAUGCUCUGGAUGAUGCGGAGGGAAAUAAGUUAGUUAAGCCUGACUUACUUGAUAAAGCAUGGCACAUCCUUUAUGAUGACUGUCUGCAUGCCCUUGGUACUUGUGUGGAAGGGGAGUUAAAGCAUUUCCACAAGGCAAGGUACAAGCUUGCUCAAGGAUUUUAUAGAAGGGGUGAAGCAGGGGACCUGGAGCGGGCUAAGGAAGAGCUCUCAUUUUGUUUCAAAUCCACUCGCUCUUCCUUUACAGUGAACAUGUGGGAAAUUGAUGGUGCUGUUAGAAAAGGAAGGAGGAAAAAUCCGAAUAUCGGUGUAUCCAGAAAGAAUCUGGAGGUCAGUUUAUCAGAAAGUUCACGAAAAUUCAUUACAUGCAUCAGGAAGUAUAUGAUACUAUACUUGGACCUGUUGGAGAAGAACAUGGAUUUGUGGACUCUUGAGAGGGCAUACACAUACCUGCGAACCGAUAAGAGGUUUGCUCUAUGUUUGGGUGAUAUUGUUCCUGUCGGUCUCGGGAAGUAUCUUCAAGUUUUAACAGCAGCGAUCCGUGAUCCUGAGAUCCGUCGAGUUUGUGGUGAUGUUUCUACUGAGCAACUACUUGAGAAAAUGUUUGGCGUAUUCAUGGACCAUGCAAACAUGUUGGCUGAUAUAAGCACCAUACCAGAGGUGAACAGUCCAGAGUUGUCAGAAAGCAAUCUUUACGGCUAUAUCCACCAAUAUAUCCAUUUGCUCGAAAGCGAUGUCCGAGUAGAUGUUCUUGAAGCACUAAACGAGAAGAUAAGAAAGCGUUUCAAGACACCUAAAUUGACAAAUAGCAACUUUGCGAAGAUCUGUAAGCAUGCUUCUCUGUCAUGGUGCCGGUGUAUACUCAUCAAAUUGGCCUCAAUCACCCCGCUGCCUGAAUCUAUGGACACAGACAAUCAGCCUGUUCCAUUAUCCAAUGGCCUUCUAUUGUACGUUGAUCUGCAACCUGAUGAGCUCCUUAUCUCAUCCCCUGAUGGGCCUACUCAAUUCAAAGGUCUUGACAUGAAUUGGUUUGAGACACUCGCUAGAAUUAAAAACAUUCCGAUCAGACAGACAUCCGAAGAUAACAUGGAGACUGCAGUUACUGUAAUGAAGAGCACUUCCAACUUUUAUCGGGACAGUUCUUGUGGAACAUUUCCCUCAGGUAUUAAUCUCUACACAGUAACCCCAUCCCAGGCAUCUGUUGAAGGGUUAUUACAGCAAGCCCCCGGUAUAGUUGAUACCCUUGACCUAAGCAUCCCAAGGAAGCUCCUUCUGUGGGUAUAUACAUUAGUUCACGGUCGAUAUUGCAACAUAUCCGCCGUCGUGAAGUACUGCGAUGAGAUGAAGGCAAGAAAUAAAAGAGGAACCCUAACGGCGGCAGCUUCGUCACAAGUCACGCCUCCAGCACCGCACAGCUCUGUUUCUUCUCAUGUUACAUCUAAAGAAAAGAGUGCGCAAACCGUGUCCAGUGAAGCUCAAGAAGCAAAUGCCUCUGCUCCAGUUGCGGCCACUGUUCCUCUCCACCAAGAAGCAGAGGGCAGCGCAUCGCUGAUUGCCACCGAGGCACAGAAACCCAGCGCCGUGGCAUCCCAACUCUCACGCAGCAGCUCAUCUAGGACAAUGGAAAGUGCUCCGGAUGGCGGUCAAGGCAAUGCCGGUGCAGCUUGA
rnacentral:rRNA from 1 species